GAUGAACGCUGGCGGUAUGCUUAACACAUGCAAGUCGAACGGACUCUUCGGAGUCAGUGGCGGACGGGUGAGUAACGCGUGAGAAUCUGGCUUUGGGUUCGGGACAACCACUGGAAACGGUGGCUAAUACCGGAUGUGCCGAGAGGUAAAAGAGAAAUUGCCUGAAGAUGAGCUCGCGUCUGAUUAGCUAGUUGGUGAGGUAAAGGCUCACCAAGGCAGCGAUCAGUAGCUGGUCUGAGAGGAUGACCAGCCACACUGGGACUGAGACACGGCCCAGACUCCUACGGGAGGCAGCAGUGGGGAAUUUUCCGCAAUGGGCGAAAGCCUGACGGAGCAAUACCGCGUGAGGGAAGAAGGCUCUUGGGUUGUAAACCUCUUUUCUUAGGGAAGAACAAAAUGACGGUACCUAAGGAAUCAGCAUCGGCUAACUCCGUG
rnacentral:rRNA from 1 species